UACGUAGAGGGCAAGCGUUGUCCGGAAUCACUGGGCGUAAAGGGUACGCAGGCGGAAAUACAAGUCAAGUGUGAAAUCUAUCGGCUCAACCGAUAAGCUGCAUUUGAAACUGUAUAUCUUGAGUAUAGGAGAGGAGAGCGGAAUUCCUGGUGUAGCGGUGGAAUGCGUAGAUAUCAGGAAGAACACCAGUGGCGAAGGCGGCUCUCUGGCCUAAAACUGACGCUCAUGUACGAAAGCUGGGGGAGCGAACGGGAUUAGAUACCCCGGUAGUCCCAGCCGUAAACGAUGGACACUAGGUGUUGGGGGUUCGAAUCCUUCAGUGCCGCAGUUAACGCAAUAAGUGUCCCGCCUGGGGACUACGGUCGCAAGACUGAA
rnacentral:rRNA from 1 species